rnacentral:piRNA from 1 species
UGUUGGUGAGUUUUUUGAACCUUUGUGGCA